UCUUAAUUUUUUAGAUGUGAAAAAAUACAGGAUAAAUAUUUUUUUAUUUAAUUAAAAAUUUUAUUGGGGUGAUAGUGAAAUUUAUAAAACUUUUAUUUUUUUGUGAUAUAUAUAAAUAAGUAUUUGAUCCAUUAAGUUUGAUUAAAAAUUUAAGU
rnacentral:rRNA from 1 species